rnacentral:rRNA from 1 species
AUGUUCGUCUACGUCAUCUACGGCCAUCCGUUCAAGCUGGGCGCCUCUACAUCACCGGGAUCGACUGCUUCGUCCCCUCGGCCGUCGGCGCCUCUCCGGCGAAUUUCGGCGCUCUCUGCUGCUCCCGGCAACCAACGAGCCUCCACUACGAGACCGUCGUCGGCACCCCCGAGAUCGACUACAUCAACGACGACCCCUCCUUCUUGCCAGAGCAACCAGACGUUGGAGCCCAGGAGCCAGACGCCACCGUCGACGAUGACUCCUACUACACUGGAGGUGCCUACUACUACGUGUAGGCCGCUGACGACGACCAGGAGUAGUUUAGGAGGAUCCCAGGCAAGAGGCCUGCGCCUCCUUCGAUUUGUAUCCCAGUUUGUGCUAGCCAUCUUAUGGCAAUUUGUUUAA